GACGUAGGGGGCGAGCGUUGUCCGGAUUUAUUGGGCGUAAAGCGUGCGUAGGCGGCUGCGCAAGUCGGUUGUGAAACCCCGGGGCUCAACCCCGGAACUGCAUCCGAUACUGCGUGGCUAGAGGUAGGUAGGGGAGAUCGGAAUUCCUGGUGUAGUGGUGGAAUGCGUAGAUAUCGGGAGGAACACCAGUGGCGAAGGCGGCAUCCUGGACCGACAUUGACGCUGAGGAGCGAAAGCUAGGGGAGCAAACGGG
rnacentral:rRNA from 1 species